CCUACGGGUGGCAGCAGUGGGGAAUAUUGCACAAUGGGGGAAACCCUGAUGCAGCGACGCCGCGUGAGUGAAGAAGUAAUUCGGUAUGUAAAGCUCUAUCAGCAGGGAAGAAAGUGACUGUACCUGAGUAAGAGGCCCCGGCUAACUACGUGCCAGCAGCCGCGGUAAUACGUAGGGGGCGAGCGUUCACCGGAAUUACUGGUGGUAAGGGGAGCGUAGACGGCAGGGCAAGUCUGGAGUGAAAGCCGGGGGCUCAACCCGCGGACUGCGCUGGAAACUGUACGGCUGGAGUGCUGGAGAGGGAAGUGGAAUUCCUAGUGUAGCGGUGAAAUGCGUAGAUAUGAGGAGGAAUACCAGUGGCGAAGGCGGC
rnacentral:rRNA from 1 species